AGUGAACGCUGGCGGCAGGCCUAACACAUGCAAGUCGAGCGGCAGCGCGGGGGCAACCCUGGCUGCGAGCGGCGGACGGGUGAGGAAUUCGUCGGAAUAUGCCUUUCUGUGGUGGAUAACGUAGUGAAACAUACGCUAAUACCGCAUACGUCCUACGGGCGAAAGUGGGGGACCGCAGGGCCUUACGCAGAAAGAUGAGUCGACGACCGAUUAGCUAGUUUGUGGGGUAAAGGCCCACCAAGGCGACGAUCGGUAGCUGGUCUGAGAGGAUGAUCAGCCACACUGGGACUGAGACAGGGCCCAGACUCCUACGGGAGGCAGCAGUGGGGAAUAUUGGACAAUGGGCGCAAGCCUGAUCCAGCCAUGCCGCGUGUGUGAAGAAGGCCUUCGGGUUGUAAAGCACUUUUGUCCGGAAAGAAAAGCAUGGGGCUAAUACCUUCGGGGGAUGACGGUACCGGAAGAAUAAGCACCGGCUAACUUCGUG
rnacentral:rRNA from 1 species